rnacentral:rRNA from 1 species
UACGGAGGGUCCAAGCGUUAUCCGGAUUCAUUGGGUUUAAAGGGUGCGUAGGCGGAACGAUAAGUCAGUGGUGAAAGCCUGCAGCUUAACUGCAGAACUGCCAUUGAUACUGUCGAUCUUGAGUACAUUUGAUGAGGGCGGAAUGUGUCAUGUAGCGGUGAAAUGCUUAGAUAUGACACAGAACACCGAUUGCGAAGGCAGCUCUCAAAACUGUAACUGACGCUGAGGCACGAAAGCGUGGGUAUCAAACAGG